UGCAGUCGAGCGGAAGGCCCUUCGGGGUACUCGAGCGGCGAACGGGUGAGUAACACGUGAGUAACCUGCCCCAGGCUUUGGGAUAACCCCGGGAAACCGGGGCUAAUACCGGAUAUGACUGGCUGCCGCAUGGUGGUUGGUGGAAAGAUUUUUCGGCUUGGGAUGGACUCGCGGCCUAUCAGCUUGUUGGUGGGGUAAUGGCCUACCAAGGCGGCGACGGGUAGCCGGCCUGAGAGGGCGACCGGCCACACUGGGACUGAGACACGGCCCAGACUCCUACGGGAGGCAGCAGUGGGGAAUCUUGCACAAUGGGCGGAAGCCUGAUGCAGCGACGCCGCGUGAGGGAUGACGGCCUUCGGGUUGUAAACCUCUUUCAGCAGGGACGAAGCGUUUGUGACGGUACCUGCAGAAGAAGCGCCGGCCAACUACGUGCCAGCAGCCGCGGUAAGACGUAGGGCGCGAGCGUUGUCCGGAUUUAUUGGGCGUAAAGAGCUCGUAGGCGGCUUGUCGCGUCGACUGUGAAAACCCGUGGCUCAACUUCGGGCUUGCAGUCGAUACGGGCAGGCUAGAGUUCGGUAGGGGAGACUGGAAUUCCUGGUGUAGCGGUGAAAUGCGCA
rnacentral:rRNA from 1 species